GGGAAUAUGCAGAGAGGCAUCGAAAAGUGCAGCCGGGGCCGCCAAAAUGCAUCACACACACUGGAGGCCUCGGAACACAGAGCUUGAUUCUCAGCUCGCAUUCACUGGAGCCCAGCUCUGGAUUCAGAUCCUUUUUUCCAUCCUGAGGAAGUGAAAACGUUAAAAAAAAAAAAAUCAAAUUGCUUUUUGGCUAAGAACAAAAGUAAGAAGUUGAAAUCGGAGGGAUCGUUUUUCACAAUGUUGUAAGUACCAAAAAUACAGCCUUAUAAUAAAAGCACUUUCUUGACCAA
rnacentral:lncRNA from 1 species